rnacentral:rRNA from 1 species
GGCUCAGAUUGAACGCUGGCGGCAUGCUUUACACAUGCAAGUCGAACGGCAGCACGGGCUUCGGCCUGGUGGCGAGUGGCGAACGGGUGAGUAAUGCAUCGGAACGUGCCCAUUUGUGGGGGAUAACUACGCGAAAGCGUGGCUAAUACCGCAUACGCCCUGAGGGGGAAAGCGGGGGAUUCUUCGGAACCUCGCGCAAUUGGAGCGGCCGAUGUCAGAUUAGCUUGUUGGUGAGGUAAAGGCUCACCAAGGCGACGAUCUGUAGCGGGUCUGAGAGGAUGAUCCGCCACACUGGGACUGAGACACGGCCCAGACUCCUACGGGAGGCAGCAGUGGGGAAUUUUGGACAAUGGGGGCAACCCUGAUCCAGCCAUGCCGCGUGAGUGAAGAAGGCCUUCGGGUUGUAAAGCUCUUUCAGCCGGGAAGAAAACGCACUCUCUAACAUAGGGUGUGGAUGACGGUACCGGAAGAAGAAGCACCGGCUAACUACGUC